rnacentral:rRNA from 1 species
CCUACGGGUGGCAGCAGUGGGGGAUAUUGCACAAUGGGGGAAACCCUGAUGCAGCGACGCCGCGUGUGGGAAGACGGUCCUCUGGAUUGUAAACCCUUGUCCCCAGGGACGAAGAUGACGGUACCUGGGGAGGAAGCUCCGGCUAACUACGUGCCAGCAGCCGCGGUAAUCCGUGGGGGGCGAGCGUUGUCCGGAAUUACUGGGUGUAAGGGGAGCGUAGGCGGGGAUGCAAGGUGGGUGUCAAAACUACCGGCUCAACUGGUAGUCGCACUCAAAACUGCAGCUCUUGAGUGAAGUAGAGGCAGGCGGAAUUCCUAGUGUAGCGGUGAAAUGCGUAGAUAUUAGGAGGAACACCAGUGGCGAAGGCGGCCUGCUGGGCUUUUACUGACGCUGAGGCUCGAAAGUGUGGGGAGCAAACAGGAUUAGAUACCCGUGUAGUC